GGGCAAAAUGAAUGAUGAAACAAAGCCUUGCUGGAAGCAGCAACUUUGAGAUAAGAAGUCAAGUGAGAAAAUUAGCUCCUGAUCCAGUUCUCAGCAUUCUCUUUUUAGAUAGCAAAAAAUACCAGGGGAACACCACAAAUUAUCUGCACAAGUUUGGUCCCUGUCCUAGCACUGCUCUAUGGCUUCAAGUAAGUCACUCCAUUUUUGCCUCAAUUUUCUGAUACAGUAAAUACACCUUAUAGUAUUUCCCUAUCCUGCCAGAGUGUACAUGAGGGUAACUAUGUGUUUGGCAAACUCUUCCAAGUAUUAAAACAGAUGCAAAAAGGAAAAUAACUAAGAAGUUCUCCAGAGAGAUGACUAAAAUUGAAAAUGUUCAAGAAGUUGUAGUAUGCCUCUGAUAUUGUAAUGCAAAUCUUGCCUUUCCUCAGGAAAUAAAGGUGGAAGAAUAACUUGAGUCCUCAGACGUGGAAAUAUCCCCAUCCAUAACACCAAUGACAUCUGUCCAUCUUCUGCACAUCAAGCUGGGUUUUGAUAAAAGAUCUGCUGCUUGAGGACACAUGGCUAUGGUAAGCACAUUGCUGACAAAAGUUUAAAAAUGCAACACUGUGAAAAGAUGCUCCAAGCAGGGGCAAGUCUACUGCUACUAGGGAAUUCUACUACUCUCCAGAAAGUCUACUUUGAUGUUUGUGAGGCAGGCGAGGAGAUUCCACCUGCUCAGA